UCCGUAGGCGGGCAAUUAAGUCAGAGGUGAAAUCCCACAGCUCAACCGUGGAACUGCCUUUGAUACUGGUUGUCUUGAGUUAUAGUGAAGUAGAUAGAAUAUGUAGUGUAGCGGUGAAAUGCAUAGAUAUUACAUAGAAUACCGAUUGCGAAGGCAGUCUACUAACUGUAUACUGACGCUAAUGGACGAAAGCGUGGGGAGCGAACAGGAUUAGAUACCCUGGUAGUCC
rnacentral:rRNA from 1 species